rnacentral:rRNA from 1 species
UACGAAGGGGGCUAGCGUUGUUCGGAUUUACUGGGCGUAAAGCGCACGUAGGCGGGUCGUUAAGUCGAGGGUGAAAUCCUGGAGCUCAGCUCCAGAACUGCCUUCGAUACUGGCGACCUAGAGUCCGGAAGAGGUGAGUGGAACUCCUAGUGUAGAGGUGGAAUUCGUAGAUAUUAGGAAGAACACCAAUGGCGAAAGCAGCUUUCUGGGACGGUACUGACGCUGAGACGCGAAAGCGUGGGGAGCGAACAGG